CAAACCUGAUUUUAGAUUCAACUGUAUAGCCUCUGGACUGGGCAAUAUAGUCUUUGAGAUAACAGAUUUUUCUGCAAACAGUUCGUGUUACUCUGUACAUAUCUGUUUGCUUGUAAACAAUUCAGUCUCCCAUAGGAUCCCAAGCACAGUUACUAUUGUUGGUAUGUAGAAGUUUACACUUCAGCUGGCCAUUCUGCCCUCAUUAAAAGGGUAUUCAUUUGCUGACAUGCCACCUUCUGAACUACGGAAAUAACUGGCUGAUGUAUCAAGAAAAGCAGCAGCCUGUUUAAUAUACGGGUUUAGCAACUGAGGCCAUCCAUCUACUGCUGCACGAGCGGCUUACGUUUCCUAGCCGUGGAGGACUGGGACCUCAGAGAGAUGGACAGCUGAGGAUGGGGACUACUACAGCUAUUUUUGGAUCUGCUUAAGAGGCUGUGGUCUUGAUCUAAGUCAUCUACUAAGAAAUGAACAAAGGAACAAUUUAUACUGGAGAUUAAUGAGUGUGAGGGGCUCAGGUAAUAUGGCACCAAUUACCACAUGCCUGUGUUAUAAGGCAGAAUGAGAAGAGUCCUCAUGCUGAAGUAAGGGUUCAUUGCAAAACAACAUGAAAAAGAAAGAAGCGAGUAUAUGCUGACCAAGCCAACUAGCACAGAACCACAAACUGGAAAAAUUAUCAGGGAAGCUUCGCUUCUGCACUGAAAAGAAAGCUCAGCCUGCCUUCAAGUUCAUAGGUACACUUGCACAACUUCUUUUGCAAUUAACAUACAAUUCUUAAACAUACCAGAAGGCUGAAUUUGGCCCAUGUCUAAAAAAGCAUAUGACUUGCGUCUAAAAAUCCCAUCAAGGAUAGAAUUGAGACAGGUUUUGAUAUUUCAGUUUUUCGCUUGAUUUGAGCCCAUAUUUGUUCAUCUGCAGUGUCAGUUUGAUUCGCUUCAUACUUCAUUCCGGAGCUAUGGUUCUCCUGAUUGUCUUCCCAGACCCAAAACCGCUCAUUCCUCUCGAGAAGAAACCUGAGCGAAACUGAGCAGAUAGUCUACUCCAGAGUCACUGUAAAGACAUUCAGUGGGCAUUUGGUCUGGCUGAUCCAAAGGAGUCAACCUUUAUCAGCAAGGACAUAAGCUGACCCAGGGGCUAGAGUCUACUAACUUGUGCACUUCCCAAAGACAGUACAAACUCUCCAAUUCUUCCUAGCUUUUAGAGACUGCAGAACCGGUCCCGUCCACAGUCCUUAUUCUGCUGAGAUUCUAUUGUCCUUAGAAUAUUGUCUCCCUGAAAGAUGCUUCUUCAAAUGAGGUAACGGAGUAGUUGCAGAAGUCAGGUACUUUUUUACAGCUUAUUUAUACCUGCCAUGUAAUUUUUUUUUCAAGCAGUUUUAAAAAUAGCAUGAUCACAGUGACUGAGAACAUGGACAGAGUUCAGCUGCAGCUUGGCAACUGAAUGUUGGCAGAAACUUUAUACCAUAUUUAUUGAAUAUUUGUACAAGCAGGGUUUUACGUCAGUGGCAGUAGUGCAAAUUUGUAAGUUAAAUACAGGAAUGCAUUGUAGCAAAAUGAUAGAGUGAC
rnacentral:lncRNA from 1 species